AGCAGUAGCUAUUUCCGGUUGAGUAUUCGCUUCGAUUUCUGAACAUAAGAGAUUGACAACGCUUUAAAUUAUUGAUAAUAUAACGGAUACCGGUAUAUCCUAGCGUGUUACUGUAUGUGAAACACGUAUACGUGUUCAACUGCACGUGGAAAGCUCUUUAUAACUCCCUGAUAAAUGAUGCAACUUUAAGACUUAUGCUUUGCUUGAAAUUCUUAAAGACAAUUGAUACUUGUCAUUGAAUGACUCGCGCACAAAUCAUGCGCAACGAUGGAGACAACGAAAUGUCAGUCAAGGUCGAAGGUCGUUAUAGAUAGGCCGAGAAUGAAAUUUCAAGUAUUUCUCGAGGUAAUAUGAGAUGAUCAAUACUUAUAAGAAGGCAUGUUCCAUAAGUACGGAAUUUUUCUAUGUAAAAACGAAGUGGCACACGUGGACUCACC